AACGGCCGUACCAUGCUGAAUAUACCGGUUCUCGUUAGAUCACCGAAGUUAAGCAUCAUUGGGCGCGGUCAGUACUUGGGUGGGUGACCACCUGGGAACACUGCGUGCGG
rnacentral:rRNA from 1 species